rnacentral:rRNA from 1 species
CCUACGGGAGGCAGCAGUGAGGAAUAUUGGUCAAUGGGCGGAAGCCUGAACCAGCCAAGUAGCGUGCGGGAUGAAGGCCCUACGGGUCGUAAACCGCUUUUGCACGGGGAUAACACCAUCCACUUGUGGAGGUCUGCAGGUACCGUGCGAAUAAGGGCCGGCAAAUUCCGUGCCAGCAGCCGCGGUAAUACGGAAGGCCCGAGCGUUAUCCGGAUUCAUUGGGCUUAAAGGGAGCGUAGGCGGGCGUUCAAGUCAGCUGUAAAAUCGCGCGGCUCAACCGCGCCCCGCAGUUGAACCUGGACGACUUGAGUUCACAAGAGGCAGGCGGAAUUCGUGGUGUAGCGGUGAAAUGCAUAGAUAUCACGAGGAACCCCGAUUGCGAAGGCAGCCUGCCGGGGUGCGACUGACGCUGAGGCUCGAAGGUGCGGGUAUCAAACAGGAUUAGAUACCCUGGUAGUC